UCAAUACAUUUGUCUCCAAUUCGUUGUAAAGUUUUAAAUUUAUUAAUCUAAAAUUGUGUUCUUACAGAUACAUAAGUAUUGGAUAUGACUAUUUUUAUAAUUAGACUUUUCACGCCUGUGCAUUUUAUCCGCCUAAACAUAAAAAUUGUAAUAAUUUCCGAAGUACUCGUAUAUGUAUGAUCGACUAGUGUUUUUUUUAAAAUUAAACCAUCGUCUUUUUAUAAGAAAAACUUAGUGGUCAAUGGUAAAUCUAUCACUCUUAGUUUUGGAUGUGAUUACAGAGGUUAAAAAAUAAAAAUAUUUUUACGUUACUGUAUAAUCCCAAGUUGCAAAAGCUUAGGAUCUUUCAAAAUAUAUAAAAGCGUAUAGCCCUGAAUAUUAUAUAUUUAUUUACUGCUCAUAAAUACAUAUUAUUAGGGGUGCCAUGUAAAACCGACACGGAAUAAAUGUAAGUGACACAAUAUUUCAAGAUUAAAAAUUGACGUAGAGCUGUUUAUUCUCACUAACAAAUAUAACACACAAAAAGGAAAAACAAGAAUAAUGCACAAGAUCGAAUUAGUUAACCAGUUUCCAAUAGCGUAGUUGGUUGACGACGUGUGAGAAAAAAUAAGCGAUAUUAGAACGAUGCUUGUCAUAAAGUGUAGCGAAGAAGACUUCUACUCAUGUUUUAAGAUUAUAUGUAGUCUGUAUAGGUGUUCAGUAAAUAAGCAACUGGGUUUCUAUUGCUCUCAUUGUUUUUAAUAAUUGAUCUGUUUCUUUACUUACUGAACAUUCUGAAUAGCAAAUACACCACAAACUUCAUAUAGUCAGUGAUAUAUUUGCGGCGGAUUGUCGUUGGGCGUUAAUCGUUCCCGCCAAAUCUGAAUAAGGUCAGUUUUUCAUUUCCGCCAAACCAAUAGUUUAUACCUGUUUACAAAUAGAAGCUUGAGAACCACUGGUUAAAAUACUUACCCAAAUAUCCCGAUAUAGAUUAUCUACUUUUUAUUUAAUCGAACUUUUUCCUUUUCUAAUAUUGUUAAAUAGUAGUGCAUUGAUAAUCAGUAUAUCGAUAAAUAUUUAACCAUUCUAUAUAUUUUAUUUUUUAAAUUAAUAUGUCAUUUGAAUAUAUCAGAAGUAAGCAGGAACUACAAAUGAUUUUCUUGGACACUAUUGAAAAUUUUUAAUCUUCUCAUAGGAAAAUGUUAUUUGGUUUCAAUAUUACGUUUUUUAAUUAUUUUUCUUCAUCUCAUAAAUAAUAAAAUACCUUAACUUUAAUUUUCUUUAAUGAUUGAAAAAAAAUUGAAAAUUAUUUUAUUCUUAUCAUCAUUUUUACCGGUGAACUAUUUUUCUGUUAAUAGUUGUUCAACAAUAGUUAAAUCAACAAUUUAAAAAUAAGAAUUCUCUUCCAAUAAAGAAAAUUAAAGUUUUUUAUGCUUGAAGGGACGAAUUACUGUGAAUAUUAUUUAAUUAAUUAUAAUUAGAAUACAUAAUUAUAUGCACUAAAAAUAGCCAAAUAUAAUGCAAAUAUGUGCAAAAAAAAAAAAAACAAUAAAAUAUGAGUUUAAUAAAUUUUUCUUCUUAAAAAACAAUUUUAAUAUAUUAUUAAUUGUGCUCUAAAACUUAGUUAUUUAAUAAAGUAUAACCUUUAAUAUUGACUCGGAGGCCUUUAUUGAUCGAUCGGUUCGAUUCAAUACUGUCGAGUUAUACACAUUUUCGUCCUCUCAUACAAGAAUUUUGUUUCUGAAACUACUAUUUCCUAGGUGACCACACUGGGUCACCAUAGAAAAUGAAAAUCUUAACAUUUUUUAGCUGAGAGGACAAUAAAUAAUAUUAAAAAAUUAUUAUAUUAUAGAAUUAUGAUCAUUAGCGUAGUUAUCAUGAAAGCGCUGUGGUGGCUUCAGCUCUCAUAAUUAAAGAAAAUUUUUGGGGAAAAGUGAUUGAUAAAGAAAUGUGGUAAAACUUUCUAUUAAUAUAUAUAUAUAUUUAUAUAUCUUCUACUGCUUGAAAUUUUUACGGAUGUACCCACGUUUUCAGUAAUGAUCAGAUGGUUCCAGACUCGUUGCAGAGUCUAUCUUCAGAUCGAUAGUUACAGGCUCUUGGUUGUAACUAUACUGUCGGCUUAGCUUGUUUACGGUAUGUAUUUAUAUGAGCUGAUAAUUGAUAACAUCGAUGUUGUUUAUCUGUUGUAUGUCAGUUUGUUGUUUACAUCCGGUUUUUGUUGUUGUUUAUGACAUUCUUGGCAUUUAACUCUUCUUUUUCUACACUGGCAAUUUUCUGUUAUUUAAUUGUAGUUUUUUCACACAUUAAGAUAUUUUAUUUAGUCUAUCCAUCUUCUAUAAUGUAAUUUUCUGGACAUUUUUAGCAAGACUCGAUUACCUAUCAUACUUAAUAAAUAACUUAAUGUGUGAAAAACUACAAUUUACAGAAAAUUGCCGGUGUAGAAAUAGAAGAGCUGAAUGUUGUAAACAACAAUAAAAACAAAACCCGGAUGUAAACAACAAAUUGACAAUUGUCAAAAACAACAGAUAAACAACAUCGAUGUUAUCAGUUAUCAACUGACAUAAAAACAUACCAUAAUCAAGCAAAGCACACAGUAUAGUUACGACCACGAUAAUGUAACUAUCGCUCGGAAGAUGAACUCUGUAACGAGUCUGGAACCGUUAGCUCAUAACUAUAAAUAUACACAGAGUGAUUUAUUAAGAAUAAGACACUCAUUUUCUCGGUAACAAUUGAAAAUUUUUGGUAAGAAAAAUAUUGUUUGAUUCAAAAAACUCUACAAUAAUAUGUAGUAAAAACAUGAUUUUGUUCAUUCCUUCAAGGUUAAAAAACAUUAACUUGAAUUUUCUUAAAUGAAAAUCCUUAUUUUGAAUUUGUUAUGAUUGAAAAAAAAAAAAUACAAACAAUUUCGUUAUUAUAAUUUUUUUUUUCGAUCAACCGUUUGUCUGUUACAGUUUGUUAAAGUUAAAUGAUUUUGGAUUAAAUUUCUAUUGUUAUUUUAAUGUUUUGAAUACAGAAGUUACUAUUUUUCUAUGGUGUAACUAAUUUUUAUUGACCAAGAUAUGACAAGUGAGAUAGCAAUAAUAAUGUACAAUGCACUAAUUGAGAGAUAAUAAUAAUAGAUUCAAAUCGGGACUUAACUAUAUUAUUAUAGCACAGUCCAUCGGUUUGUAAGGCAAUCUGUAAAACUAAAGAAUCAAUUUAUUUGAAAAACCAACCCUUCGCGUAUUAUAGACUGUAAUACUAUAAUUUAUAGUGACUAUUAAAAUAAUCGAAUACUACGAUAAUGUUAUCGAAAUCAUUGCUUAGACAGAGUGAUCUUUAUUUUUGUUGACGGAUACUUAUUUAAAGUUGUAGCAUAACCUCAAACUGAAUUGAGUUAAAUACUAAUUCGCCGCGUUACUACAAUCCCGCUUGAUUAAAGAUUCUUGUUCAUUAUUCAAUAAGCUUUAACGUAGCCUUAGAAAACUGAAUUGAGUAAUAAAUUAACUCGACAUCUGUAUAUAAACUGGCGUGAUCUAACGUUUUUGUAUAUUAAUUAUAAGUUAACGUAUUAAUUAUUAAUUAUUUUAUUUAUAUAUCAUUACAAUUAAUAAAUUAUAUUUGAAAGUUUAUUGAGGUCAUUUAAGUAAAAAAAUGUCAAAUAAUAGGUAAGUACAAUGGAUUACGAACACAAAGCUUAUAUAUUGAUCAUUUUUUUUUAUAUUAUAUAGCCACAAGUAAAAUUAUUUAUUCUGGAAAAUUUAUGAAACAAAUUACUUAAGAAGAUAUUUACAUUUUUGGACAUGUCUCUGCUAAAAGACAAAAUUGCUAAGAAGUUAUACCUAAAUUAAUGAAAACCAAUCUUUUUUCUCUUUGAGAAAAAUGAAUUUUGCUGUAGUGUGUUUUAUUACUUAAAAAUUUUAACUCUGGCAGUGAUUUUAAAUGAAAUGUUGUAUGAGUCUAAUUUGUGUAUGACAAUAAUUGUGAAAUUACAUAAUUGGAGUAUGGGAAAAAGUGAAAUAUUUAAUAUUAAGAAAAUAUUAUGCAACUAUUUUGAUAAUUGAAUUAAUAUUUCAUUAAGCAUGAUUGGAUUGAAAUAAACUUAAUUUUAUUGUACAAAAUGGCUACAAGCACUCUGUAAAAAUAUAUGAACAUUUUCAGAAAUUAUAAUUAUUAUGACUUGUUAAUUUUUAGUUUUGAUACCUGCUGUUGUCAGUACUUUUAAGUUUACAGCUGUAAGUAAGAUAUUUCGAUAUCAAAAAAUUAAUAUUCUAAUUAUAUUAAGAAAUAAAAAUGAUUUAAUAAUGAUUUUGCUAUUACCAUGACAAUAUUGUGAAAAAUAAUUGAAUAGCAAAUAAAUGCAAAGAUCUCAAAACAACUUGAUUACAAAUCUAAUGUCUACAUUAUAUUAAAGCAAUUCACCGUAGUAUGAAAUUGAUAUUUAAUAAUAAGUAUUAUAAUUUUUAUGGAGAAAUUAUAAAGUAUAUAUUACUUUUAUGGCAAACAUAUAUAAAAGUUAAAGGACUUGAUGUAAUACUUAAAAAAAAAAAUUGUUUCUUAUUGGUCUACAAGGAAUUUUCAUCAGAGAUCAAAAUAUACAUUGCUAAACCAAUUUUCGCGCCUAUUUCAAAUCUUCAAUUAGAGUUUCGCAUAUUGACUAAGUAAUUACAAAAUCCUUCUAAUUACUGACUUAAAAGUCAAUUACUGACUUUUCAGUGAUUUUUUGUGGCUUUUGAAUUUAAUAUUUUAUAGUUUUUAAAUUAAUAAUAUUUUUAAUUUUAUUUAAAAAAAGAUAGCUUGAAGAAGGGGGUUUGAACUUUGUAACCCAAACAAAUAAGACUAUAAUAGUCUGUAGUGUGAAAACAAGUUUAUACCUAUUUAUUAAUCUCGAAAUUGAUUCCCCAGACUCAUUAAAUACAAUUUUGAUUGGUAUUAUCUUUAAAAAUCUAAUAAUACCUACAGUUAAUAGAUAAUUUUAUUUAAUAAUAUACAUUAUUAAUUAGAUAAUUUGUGUUAAAAAACGUCAGUGCAUCAUUUACACGAGCUUUAGAAUACAACAGGUCAAAUUUAUAAGCAAUUUUUAAUUUAAUUUUUUUGUAUAUUUAAAAUUUUUGCAUGUGUGAACUAAUACAACCAUACACAAUUGCCAUUAUUAGUGAGGAAUGUAUGAACGAGGUGUUUUGAUGUUCACAUGAAAAACAGAACGCUGCUAAUGCUUUCGAAAUUUAUCGCCAAAUAUUGAUAGAUUCAAAUUAUUUAUCUUCAACAGUUGAUAAAAAUUUUUCCAAAAAUAAUGGAUGAAUUAUGGCCAUAUCAAUAAUUAAUGUAUUAAAUGACUAUGAAUUUAAGGAAGAUAAAGAAUAUUUUUUAAGCUGUGAAUAAUCCGAAGAAUCGUUUUUAGAUGAGGCAGUUAAGAGCUCUAGUUCAACAACUUUAUAAUUAGUUCCGAUAAAUUGAAAUCUCCAUUAAAAAAAAGGCAUUCAUAUCGAUUAAAACCAAGUUUAAAAUUGUUCAGAUUGCUAGAGAACACUCUAAUUGGGGCUUAAAAACAUUACAACGGAUGUACUUUGUUGAAAAAAAAGGAGUAUUUAAAUCGUUGGGAAAAUAAAAUUUUGAACUGCGGUGUAAAGGAGUGCUAUGAAAAAAUUAAUAAGUGGACUUAUGAUUGCUUUUAUGAAGCUAGAAUGAACAAACAACUUGUUACAACAAGGAUGAUUCAGCAAUGGGCGUCAGCAGCCGCAGUGCGAUUGUUAUCUUUACUUUGUUGAUAAUAUUCGGGUAGCUCCAAAUUUCUAUUUAGUGGUGGUCGGACGAUCGCUGUUAUGCAACAGUGAGGAGUACACGCCGCAGCGGACGGGUAAUGGCUUAUGCGUCGGCAGUUAUUAUAUUGACAAUAUACAGAUUCUGGAAGUCAGAUUACAAGGCGUAGCAGACGGGCAACAGUAGUUAUUAUACAUUAUAACUGUGGCUCCUGACUGUCCGCCCCACGGACUGGACGGUCCGUGUUUUAGGCCACUUAUUAAGAUUACACAUUGAAUAAUUAUUUUGGAUUUUCAGUUUAGUUAUUAUUAUGUUGUAAUGAGAAAUAAUAUUAACUCCGGUUUGAAUUAUUUUUAUACUAAAUUACUAAAAAUUUUGUAAAAAUGGUCCUUAAAACCAUGUGAGACAUAUUUAAAUUAUAUAAAGGGAGAAUUUUUAAAAUAGAAAUAGAUUAAUUUUCGUUUGACGUCAUUCAUAAUAAUGAAAAAUUAUUAAAAUUUUGCAAGGCUAUUAUUUCGAAUGUAUUAAAAUUUACUAAGAAACAGUGGAGAUCGUGUAUAUUCAGAAUUAGAUCUUUUUUUAUAAUGUUAUCCACAAUGUAAAUGAAUAAAUAUAAAAUGUUAAUUAAAAUUAAAUUUAAUCAUUUUUGUCAUAUUAUAAAUGAAACAUUUUUGUGUACAUAUAAAUUAAUAAUGAGAUAUGAAUGAUAUCAAAGUAAUUAAACAACUAAAUAUAUCUAUUAAAAUAUAUUUUUAAUAAAAAAUUUGAGUUAAUUUAAAUUAAAUUAAUUAUAAUAUUUUUGCAGAAAUAUAUGAGAUAAUUUUAAGUUAAUUAAUGCAGGUAAAAUAGAUGAGUUAAGAGAUAGAUUAGUUAGAUUUUACAAAGAUAUUAUACAAUUAGAAAACAGACAGUAAUUUAACCUUAGUAGAAAAAGAUUUAAUUUUAAAGGAAUUGUCCAAUAACAUAUUGAUAUAUUAAAGUUAGAACACGUUUAGGUUUAUAUGUGUCUAGUCCAGAAUCAGUCUCUAAUCUUCUUAAUACCCCAGAAAAAAUUCUGAUAACUUAUUAAAAGAUAGUAAAUAAUUAUAUAAAAAAUUUAAUGAUAAAAUGGAUCUUAUAGUUGACAAAGUAGAAAAAGUUUUAGAAACUUAUAUUUUAAUGACAUAAAUAUAGACAAUGAAUUUAUAAAUACUUUACAAAAUAAUUAUUUAAAAAAUAAGAUUUGUCUGUACUCAUAGAAUUGUAUUUUGGUAAAUAGUAUUUGUAUUUUUCAUAUUAUUUAAUAUUAUUCGUAAUAUUAGCAUCAACAAAAUAAUGUUCUCUUAAAGAAUUUUUUUUGACAAAAAAAAAUUAUUGAUUA